CGCCCGCCGCGSGCGGCGGGCGGGGSGGGGGCACGGGGGGGKGAAGAAGUAUUUCGGWAUGUAAAGCUCUAUCAGCAGGGAAGAAAGGCUCGCAAGAGAGAUGACGGUACCUGACUAAGAAGCCCCGGCUAACUACGUGCCAGCAGCCGCGGUAAUACGUAGGGGGCAAGCGUUAUCCGGAUUUACUGGGUGUAAAGGGAGCGCAGACGGUCAAGCAAGUCUGAAGUGAAMCCCCACGGCUCAACCGUGGGCUUGCUUUGGAAACUGUUUGACUAGAGUACUGGAGAGGUAAGCGGAAUUCCUAGUGUAGCGGUGAAAUGCGUAGAUAUUAGGAGGAACAUCGGUGGCGAAGGCGGCUUACUGGACAGCAACUGACGUUGAGGCYCGAAGGCGUGGGGAGCAAACAGGAUUAGAUACCCUGGUAGUCCACGCGGUAAACGAUGAAUACUAGGUGUUGG
rnacentral:rRNA from 1 species